GGUAACGUGGCCGAGUGGUUAAGGCGGCAGACUUAAGAUCUGCUCAUCGAUUGAUGGCGUGGGUUCGAUCCCCAUCGUUACCA
rfam:Trachipleistophora hominis chromosome Tnknown scaffold00226, whole genome shotgun sequence.